UGGGGAAUAUUGCACAAUGGGCGCAAGCCUGAUGCAGCCAUGCCGCGUGUAUGAAGAAGGCCUUCGGGUUGUGAAGUACUUUCAGUCGGGAGGAAGGUGGUAAGGUUAAUAACCUUAUCAAUUGACGUUACCGACAGAAGAAGCACCGGCUAACUCCGUGCCAGCAGCCGCGGUAAUACGGAGGGUGCAAGCGUUAAUCGGAAUUACUGGGCGUAAAGCGCACGCAGGCGGUUGAUUGAGUCAGAUGUGAAAUCCCCGGGCUUAACCCGGGAAUUGCAUCUGAUACUGGUCAGCUAGAGUCUUGUAGAGGGGGGUAGAAUUCCAUGUGUAGCGGUGAAAUGCGUAGAGAUGUGGAGGAAUACCGGUGGCGAAGGCGGCCCCCUGGACAAAGACUGACGCUCAGGUGCGAAAGCGUGGGGAGCAAACAGG
rnacentral:rRNA from 1 species